GAUGCGGCCCAGUCUCACCCAGACCCGAGCUCCAGUGGCCCCCAAGUAAAUUGAGUUUGAGACCCCUGCUGUAAAAGAUUGUAAUAAUAUUACACCAUUUGAGAUCCUUCUUUUGAUGUGAUUAAUUAUAUUAUUCAGCAAACAAUAUAUAUAUUUUUAAAUUUAAUUUAUAUAUGUCCAUGUGUCCCUUAAAAAUUAUGAAAUGUUGCUUUGGUACAGGACUUUCUUCUUCCAAGCAAUCUAAAGACCGUCAACAAACCAUCGCAACUCCAGCCUUCACCCCCCGUGUUUGUUGGCCACCAGUCCUUACCCCCCGUCAGACCUUUGUCAUCCUAUCGUCCAAUCCGGACUUGCCCUGUCAACACCGGAGGGCCAAGAAACUCCCAACACAUGCCGGCCAUACACCCACCCGCAGUGCGAGGCCUGACCCGACACUCACCACGCAAGUACGAAGCCUUCCAUCAACUGAAAAGAUCCGACAUUAACACUCCAGCUAAGCAAAUAUCACAACGCAGAAGCGGGUGCUACAGCUGCUUCCAUGUGGUGAAGCCCUCCCACGCUGAUCAUUACAUCAUACACCCCCAGUUUGUCUCUGAAUGCCAACGUUAGGACAAUACGGACAGCUGCAACCCGAGUCGUCAUUCAUCAAUUCUUAACCCACUGAAGAUAAACCACGAUAACAUACGAUAACAGUGUAAUACUGUAGGUGAUGUUAAAGUACUGUAUCAUCACCUGCUUUUUAAGAAACAGCUUCCCAUUUCAAAUUUGUCACCAUUUUUAUUUGUAUGUCUAAAUGCAAAAUGGAAAAAAGGUGAAAUAGAUGGGGGUACCAAAGCUGAUGUCUUCAAUGUUUUUCUUUUCUGAGCUUCUCAUGUCUGCAUCUACGGACAGAAAGAAUAAAGAUUAUUAGUACUAUUCUUACUCCCACGUUCAACCAAUUAACAUUUACUUGAAUUUGAUCUCCCUUUUUUGGUGUCGCUGUCAAAUUUGUAAACACACACCUUCCCAAAAAGAAUAGC